AUCCUUUUUACUGACACAUACAUACUAAAAUAAACAUCACCACAAAAACAUAUAAUGGCAAUGGUAAUCAGAAUUAAUACUCUUUGUGGUUCCACAUUUUCCAAACACCAUUCCUUUAUCAGUUACAGUCUGAAAAGCUUCAGUUUGUCAGUGUACAUUUAAAAGAAUACAAGCAUGUGUUUACUGGAUGCUCGCACUGAAGUUGGGCAUGGUUUCAGCAUACAAUUUUACCACAUCACAAGCCUUGAGAAAAAACAUUUUCUUCCACAGAGAGGUUCAGUUACUGAGGAAACACAAAGCUCUUCAUCUCACUGUUUAAGACCCAAACCCAGGAAAAGCAACAUGCUUGAAAACAAAAUGCAUGCUUUUGGAGUUAGAACUUUCUGUGUAAAACACACAGAGACACAGACACACACAUUCAGGGGAGGCUCAGGACACCAUUAAUAAUUACGGUUAAUAUGAUCUCACUUAAACUUGAGAGGGGACGUGUAAGUCAGCUCUUCACAGCUCUUGCAAGUGCAUGACACAGAGAGAGAGAAAGAGAGAGAGAGAGUGUGUCAGAGAGGACAUAAAGUGUAUGUGUGUGUGUGUGUGUGUCGUGUAAUGCAGCUGCUGCGUGAUGAUCAACAUCCACAAGCUUCUUUACUUCGCUAACUGUGGGAGCAGGCGUAAAUAGAUGGCCUCUUCAUUAGCUGAGCUGGAGAUGCUGACCAUCAUGUUUUCUCUCCUGGUUUUUGCCCUCUUCACACUUGGAGGGAUGCUCAAUGAGGAAUGUGGACAGUCAAAUGCGACUAACACAAACCCACAAAACGAUGUGCUGACUGUCUGACUUUGAUGAGGGUUAUGAUUCAGAUACAGAAGAUUCACAGGGGAAAAGCAGCCCUCUGAGAAUGUGACAGUCAAAGCCCCCUCCUGUGUGAACCUGUUGGUUACCAGACAAAAAGUUGAACUGAUAACCUCUGAACACAAGUGCAUGUGUACUUUGUUAAAGGAUC